UACAGAGGUGGCAAGCGUUGUUCGGAAUUACUGGGCGUAAAGGGCGCGUAGGCGGUUGCCUAAGUCGGACGUGAAAUCCCCAAGCUUAACUUGGGAACUGCAUCUGAUACUGGGUGACUUGAGUUCGGGAGAGGAAUGUGGAAUUCCAGGUGUAGCGGUGAAAUGCGUAGAUAUCUGGAGGAACACCGGUGGCGAAGGCGGCAUUCUGGACCGAAACUGACGCUGAGGCGCGAAAGCCAGGGGAGCAAACGGG
rnacentral:rRNA from 2 species